GGACAGUUAAGUGUCAACUACUAUAGCAGCUGUGUAGUCGCAAAGAGGGCCAAAUACUCAUCAGUUUGGACUCCAGAUACAGAUUGUGUUAUUCAGUGGGAGGGUUGUGUCACAGUCUGGCUUAAGUACAUUCUGAUUUUAGAACCAGCACAACAAAGUGGAAUACACUGGAAUUCAAGUGUGGGCACAGAAAGACAUCUCACAGGAUGUUCCUGAUUGGUUCUGGAAGUACUUCACAUCCGUCCCCUCAACUUUAACACCAACUGACAGCUCGCACUUUUAGUGGAGUCCAUUCAUUUGAAAGGUGGUUUUCGCCUUCACUAAAAAAGAAAGUGAAGUGCCUGAUGAUUCAAGGGAAAUAACUGUUCCUGAACCUGAUGGUCCUGAUCCUCAAGUUCCUGUACCUCCUUCCUGAUGGCAGCAGCAAGAAGAGAGCAUGUCCUGGAUGGUGGGGUCCCUGAUGAUAGAUGCUGCGUUCUUACAACAUGCCGAAUCAUCUAUGAUUUCCCCGUUGAAGAUGAAAGGGAGAAAGUUUGAAAGGGAUGUGUGAGUGAGCUCUCCAGUCAGUAUAAUGAGUUUCAGUAUGUCAACUCAAUGAACACUGUCUGAUAAACCUUCUGCACCAGGUAAAAGACGAGAUUGAUGGUGUUUCACGCUUCCUAUUUCUCAUUGGUUAUUUUUGCCGAGCAGCUUUGUGGUAGACACAGCGUGCUAUUCAUAGAUGGAAGUCAGUGAACUGCAUAUAUCUAAGUAUCAUAGCCUGCUUCUUUACACAGCUGGCAGGGCUCUAACAUCAUUGACUUCUUCUGGUCCAUUGCAUCGACAAUAGUCACCAGCUUGCUGGCGUGUGGUCCACGAGCAAUGCAGACCACAAGGCGGCUCUCCAUGCACCACUUAUGGAACUGAAUGGACGCAUUGUUGCUACAGUUCUUUUUGCAGUAAUGAACAGGGUAAACUUGCCAGCUGAAAUUCAAAGUCAUCUGAAUUGGAGGAUGUCCAAACUUGCUUAUUUUGGGCAUGUUUUAAUGGUUUCGUGCUGGCUGUUUUCUCCACUUCAGUAAGACAGUGCUGUUUUUGGUAUAUUGCUGAAAGCAUGUCGGCUACUUAAGGGAUGCAUGGAGCCUCAACUAAAGAAGGAAGGUUUGUGACAUCUAAUUGCUAGUUUGCUCUGGGUACAUUACAUAUUAAUUUCUGUAUUCACUUUCAUGGUUAGAGACAUGUUUUUUGAUCUUAUUCCAGUUGAGAGGAAGAGUCCUUUUUCAACAGUGUCCCUGUUCCUUCCAAAAUUUUGAAGGCAAUACUAUCUACACUCAGUGGCACUUUAUUCGUACACCUGUACACCUGCUCAUUAAUGCACAUAUCUAUUCAGCCAAUCAUGUGGCAGUAAUUCAAUGCCUAAAAACAUGCUAAGAUGGUCAAGAGGUUCAGUUGUUGUUCAGACCAAACAUCAGGAGAGGGAAGAGAUGUGAUCUAAGUGACCUUGACCUUGGAAUUACUGUGGAUGCCAGACAGGGUGGUUUGAGUAUCUCAGAACUGGUGAACUUCCAGGAUUUUCACACAGAGCUGUUUCUAGAGUUUACAGAAAAUGUUGCAAGAAAUGGGGAGAAAAAAAAACAUCCAGUGAGCAGCAGAUCUGUGGGCGUAAACAACUUUUUAAUGAGAGAGAUUAGAGGCCAAAUUGAUUCAAGCUGAUAGGAAGGUGAUAGUAACUCAAGUUAGCAUACAGUACAACAGUGGUGUGCAGAAGACCAUCUCUGAAUGCACAACACUUUGAACAUUGAAGUGGACGGGCAAAAGCAGCAUCAGACCAUAAAUAUACACUCAGUGGUCACUUUAUUAGGUACAAGAGGUACCUAAUAAAGCGGCCACUGAGCUUAUAAUAUUCAGUUCAUUUGCAGUUAGGGAGAUAAUCUAUUAAAUAUUCCAAUGUCAGCACUAUAGCUGAAAUGUCCUCUCAGAUUCUGUUCUCCGCCAAUUAUUUAUGUUUAAUGUCUUUUUGCUUCCUGAAGAUUACAUCACCUUUGGAUUCCAACUGGGUAAAGUAGAUUUCAAACCUCCCAAAAAAAUCAGUACACUCAUUUUCAAUUAUUAGAGCUUGAGCCAGUACUUUGCUAAUUGGUUAUUUUGCAUACAUGGGCAAUGAAGUGCCUUCUCUCAGCUAAAAAAAACCUUUGCAUUGGCAAUCAGAAAGGAAAUAGACUCCAUAAAUAACUGGACAUUGUUCUGCGAGAGACUGGAACCGACCCUCUGGCUGUAUAUAUCAGAAACUGUUCAUUGUAAUUUAAAUGUUGAUGCAAUCUGCGCUGUAAGUGGAAUAAAGUACCCUCGA